CCAGCUCACUUGUUCCUUGACGAGAUUGGUGUUGCUUACGAUGAGCAAGACAACUACGUUGUGGUUAAGCACGCUGCUCUGUUCACAUCUACAAUCAUGAGCAAGCUUUUGGCUCGUCCUAACGUGAAGCUCUUCAACGCCGUGGCUGCUGAGGAUCUGAUCGUGAAAGGAAACAGAGUUGGUGGUGUGGUGACUAACUGGGCUCUUGUGGCUCAGAACCACGACUCACAGUCGUGCAUGGACCCUAACGUCAUGGAGGCCAAGAUUGUGGUGAGCUCUUGUGGACAUGAUGGUCCUUUUGGAGCCACUGGUGUCAAGAGGUUGAAGAGCAUUGGCAUGAUCGAUCAUGUUCCUGGGAUGAAGGCUUUGGACAUGAACACUGCUGAAGACGCUAUUGUGAGAUUGACCAGAGAGGUUGUUCCUGGUAUGAUUGUGACCGGUAUGGAAGUUGCUGAGAUCGAUGGUGCCCCAAGAAUGGUGAGUUUCUCUUUUUUUUACAUGUUCUUGACAAAUCUUUGAUUCGAUCAUGUCAUGUCCUGAGUAAAUUUGUUGUGUGAUGUAUAGGGACCAACCUUUGGUGCUAUGAUGAUAUCCGGACAAAAGGCCGGACAGCUUGCUCUUAAGGCUUUGGGACUGCCCAAUGCUAUUGAUGGAAC
rnacentral:lncRNA from 1 species